CAUCACUGAUCUGCUGGUCGCCCGCGGCAACCGGCUGCCCAGCCGGGGCUGCUUGACGUGCCGAAUGUGAAUUUUCCCAAUCAAAGGCAGGGCAGAGAGGAGUCGCCGAGUCUGUGGAUUUUACAUAUUUUCCGUUUCCAAACACCGUCCCACUCAGGGUGCAUUUCCACUUCCUUCUGACAAGACGCAGAUUUUUCGUCUGCGCUUAAUGUGACGCGUGGGGACAGCGGCAGCAGGACCGCAUGACACGAGACGGAAACUUUUCCACAUUCAAAAAAAAUAAUAAAAAAAAACUCCAAAGACGUGAAGGAUUUAAAGCCAUUUUCCACACGUGUCCUAUUCACAUUUUCCAAACUACCAGGACAGACGUGGGACAUGUCUGCAAAGCAGCUACAAAACGCUUUACAGUUUGUUUCCUCGUCUCCCAGUGCGACCGCAGUCAUCCCCAGCUGGAAAAUAAGAGGCUUCCCAUGAGCAUUACGAGGUCAACUGACUUGGUAAAGAGCACGUCCACCAGAUUUUUCCCAGCCGGAUUGUGAAUCGUUGACCUUCCACCAGACAACCUGCCCUGCCGUCCUCUCCGACACCGCUCUCCUUGAUAUUACUGAUACAUCGACACCAGCGCCGCUGCCGCGGGGCUGAAUGUGUCACAACCUGCAGGAAAGCAGUGACUGUGCCAUGACUCACAAACAACAGGUAACCCAUGCUCUCUUAAAUCAUAACGUGUGCUGCAUGUGGCGACGAGACUUCAAGCGUCAAAGCCGACGUCUACACUCUAUAUGGCUGCCAACGCUAUCACGUAACAUAAAGAGGUCCUGAAUGAUCACAUCUGUCCUGAAACAGCAGCUGAUGCAUCCAUACAAGACCCUGCAUACAGACUGUAUUAGAAGAAAUGCUAAUUAAAACGCCAUUGUGAAACAAAAA